GCCAUGUUAUUUCAGAUAGCUCGGUAGAUAGAGCAUGAGUCUCUAAAUCUCAGGAUUGUGAGUUUGAGCCCCACACUGGGCA